rnacentral:tRNA from 1 species
GCCUGAUUAGCAUAUUUAGUAAUGCAACUGUUUUGUAAUCAGUAGAAUCAAGUGCAAUUCUUGGAUUGGGCU